rnacentral:lncRNA from 1 species
AGAGAGACUGGAAAAAUAAUGAGAGGACUGGUUGUGUGAGGAUUAAACCGGUCGGCCAGAAUGGGGGAUUGGCUCCCUGGUGCACAUGUGAGAGGAUGGGCCAUGUGGGAGGACGGCUCAUCGGGUUUCGGUGACUCCACUGACUAAUUUCCACGUGAUGUGAUUAUAUGAAGGUGAUAAUAUUUGUGAUUGCUGUUGUAUUGCCAUUUGUGUGCCAAACUGCAUGAUCACAUAAUUUAACGGGUGACCACAUAAAAUUAUUUUAGCAUUUUUAUGAUUGUGUGGGGUGAGAGAGUUAUCUAAUUCUACUCACUGAGUUUAAUACUCACCCCCCUCCAACCCUCCCCAGGUAAUAGAUGGAAAGAAGAAUCGUGGAGUCUAAUUGAAUGAACGAGAUAUGGAUCGAUAAGAGUAAUAAUCAUUGUAUUAAAUAUGUAAAUGCAAAGAAUAGUGAAUUAUGGAGUAGAGUUCCGCAAUUGUAUUCCAACUGAGUUGUAAAUGAAUAAAUAAAGUAUAGACAUUUAUUAUUUGGAUAUAUUUGUGAAAUAAAUUAUUG